AAAUAUAGGCUACUUAUUGUAAUGAAUUGCUGUAAAAAUUACAGCAAUAUUUUACAGCCGAUGGCUGUAUUUUAAUAAUACAGCAUAUUGCUGUAAAUUGCAAUGAAUUCCGGGGGCGUGGCGGUUUGAAUCAAAUUUACAGAAUAUUGCUGUAAAUUUCAAAUAUACAGAGGCAUUGUGGGAUCUCCAACGGUCAAGAUUCGAGUAGCAGCAAGAGGAGUGAUUUACAACUGUGGUAUUUAUCUGGAGAGAGGAACAAAGACGAAAGGAAAAGUGCCAUCUAAAACAACAGGCAGACAGUUCAGAAGAAACGGGUUGCGUUCAACCUACAUGUGGCCACUCUUCUGUGCAAAGUGAUGGAUUUUCAGUGGAAUUUCUGAAAUCCUAUCUUUGAAUCCUGGGAUGGAACAUCAUCUGGAGCAGAAUUGUUCUUUUUUGAUCGCAAGUUUGUUGGACUUGUUGUUUGGCCAUGUUGGUAUGUUCAUGAAGUGAUAAAAGUGAUGUGGGUUUUAAGAAAUGUUUUUAUAUGACCCUGUUGGUCAAGUUAUAGUUAUAAUUGUAUUUCUUUGUGUGAAGGGCCAUGAUGGCCAAUAAGUAAUUUAAAAACAUUUUCAUGACAAAAUUUUGUCCCUUUAAAAAAUAAAAUGAUUUUCUAAAUAAAAAAUAAAUUCAAAAUAA